rnacentral:misc_RNA from 1 species
GUGAGAAACUGUAUUACAAUGUGCAGUUCUGUUUCUGCCAAAAUGAGAAUGUACUUUUGGUUGUUUAUAAUUGUUGUUGAUAUGAUUCCUUAGGCAUCCAAAAAUGUCCAGUUAGGUGUUUAGAAAUUUGUAUAUCAACUUAAAUUGCGUAAUGAUGAGUGUGUAACAGGUUUCCAUGGUGUUUUACAUAUGGCCAUAUUUGUUGAGUUGGAGAGUUGGACCACAUUGUACUCUUUGUGCUAAUAGUUAUAGAGACACUCAUAGAGGGAUUUGAGGAGGGAUUUUAUAUUUGUUGCAUGUUUCUUUGAUUGGAACUUCUGGGGCUUCCCCUUUCUGAGUGGAGUAUCCUCAUGAAGGGCUCGUCUUAGACUCCUUUGUAAAUGGUGUGGGGUUUUGUGGGAUGACAAGGAAAUCUGUUACAUUUAGGAGGGAGAGAUUUAGGAAGAAGCAUGAGAAUUGCUGGAAUAGUAAGUUGAGAGUUGUUAAGGGAAGUUGAGAGUUGCUGGAAUAGUCUGUUGUAAUUGGCGGGAACUGUUAUAACUGUCAAGUAGCAGAGUAUAAAUAGUAGUUCUGUAGCACAAAUAAUAUAAGGAAUCUAUCUUGAGAAAUAUCAAUAAAACUACUUUCUUCCUAUCUUUAGGGUGUACAACUGAUUAGUUCGGCUCGGAACUGAAGACAAAAUCGAAAACUGUAUUUCAUUAAAAAUUAAAAUCAAAAUCAAACGAAUUAUAGAUAUAACUGAACUGAAAAAAUCAGGAUAAAUCAAUUCGGUUCGGUUAAAAAGAUCGGUUUUAACAUAUGCAUUUUUUUAAUUCAGCCAGACAACCACUCAGUCUCAUACAGUCACCGAAAUGAACAUGGAAUUGAGUAAUUGACAAAAACUCAAACAAUCUAUUAAGCAAUUGACAAAUUCUAAUAACAAAAAAUCAAAAAUUCAUAAUCAAUUGAAAAAAAAAAGGGGUUAUCAUUGCCCUUAAGAGAAAUUUCUAGGCAAUUAUCCAUAUGAAACAAUCAGAAAUUCAGAAUAGGAAAAGCUCAUAAGAAAAUCAAUAAGAAACUAUCAUAAUCAUAAACAAAUUUCCAGCGUAAUCACUUCACAACAAUUAAAACUAAGCGGUUAAUAAGAGAUGUAAAAGGAUAAUAGUAAUGAGAGAAAAUCCAGAAAUUCUAGAUCAUAAAUAGAAACGCAAAACCAGAUAUUAGAGAAAACCCAGAUAUUCUAGAUCAUGCAAUGCAAACCCAGAACAAUCGGAAAACCCAUUACAAAAAUAAGCCCAGAACUAGUGGCCAAGAUCGGCGAAGCAAUAUGCUGCAUCUAGUAAGCAAGAUCGGUGAAGAAAGAUUGACGGAGCAUGCAAGUCCUCUCCCAAGCCACGAACCCAGUCGUCAUUGAUGGCUUGAUGC